rnacentral:rRNA from 1 species
CCUACGGGAGGCAGCAGUGGGGAAUCUUGCGCAAUGGGCGAAAGCCUGACGCAGCAACGCCGCGUGCGGGAUGAAGGCCUUCGGGUUGUAAACCGCUUUUAACAGGAACGAAAAUGACGGUACCUGUAGAAUAAGGUGCGGCCAACUACGUGCCAGCAGCCGCGGUGACACGUAGGCACCAAGCGUUGUCCGGAUUUAUUGGGCGUAAAGAGCUCGUAGGCGGUUCGAUAAGUCGGGUGUGAAAACUCUGGGCUUAACCCAGAGACGCCACUCGAUACUAUUGUGACUAGAGUUCGGUAGGGGAGCGGGGAAUUCCUAGUGUAGCGGUGAAAUGCGCAGAUAUUAGGAGGAACACCGGUGGCGAAGGCGCCGCUCUGGGCCGAAACUGACGCUGAGGAGCGAAAGCGUGGGUAGCAAACAGGAUUAGAUACCCUGGUAGUCCACGCCGUAAACGGUGGGCACUAGGUGUGGGCUCCAACCAACGGAGUCCGCGCCGUCGCUAACGCAUUAAGUGCCCCGCCUGGGGAGUACGGCCGCAAGGUUAAACUUAAAUGAAUUGACGG